UCGCGGAGGGGGAGCCGGGACGCCGCCCGGGGCGCGCAGAGGCGCGAAGCGGCCCAGCCCGGGCGCCGCUGGCACCGGCUCCCGGCUCCCGGCGCAAACCCGUCUGACUGGCUGGGCCACUCCCGCCCGACGCCCCCCGCCCCCCCGGAUGACACGGCUCGCUCUCCCCCAGCCGCCGCUGCCAGUCUGCCCGCCGGGGUGUCGGAACAAGCGGCACCUCGCCUCCUGCGUGUCCCUGCAGAGCCCGACAUAAUUAGACGGCCCCAAGCCGGCUCGGAAACCCGAAAUCCCUGCUCCGGCGCUCGCCCACCGCAAAGUUGUUGAAACAGCCUUCGCUCUAUUUAUCCUCCUCUCCCUCCUCUCGCUUCUCAUCUGUUUUUGUCUCACUCACACGCACAUGCACACGCGGCCCCACAGGGUCCCUCUCCGGGGGUGCAAGUGCAUCGCCUCCCACCUGGGUCCCACGGGCAGCUCGCGCCGCGCGGAGCUUCGGACCCCGCCCGCCGGGGGUUUCGGCCUCUGAGAAGGUGAUUGCCCGAGCCCCGGGCCACAGCCCGGAUGCGACAAUCCACCCUAGGAGGCUUAGGGGCUCAGUGUCACCCCGACCAGCUCGCAAAGGACCCCCCAGCCCUGAAAACAAAGCGACUGGCCCGACAUGGAGUCUCUGCGCCCCGCACCGCGCACGACACGAGUCCCCAGAUAAGCACCCGUCCCCUUGGGAUGUCACCUCGUGCCCCGGGGGAGGGGAAAAAGGAGGACCCGGGAAAAGGGAAAGAUUUAAAAUAGUCUACAGAAAGGAGAGGAGGAAGGGGACGGGUGACACAUCGUUCACAUAGCCCAGGUUCUGAUUUCAAGUGAAGACCCCGCCGCUGCGCCCACACAGCUUGACAUUCCCAGCUCCACAUGCCAAAAAGAAAGAAAGAAAAGAGAGAAGAAAAAAUAGCAAAAGCCGGGACUGCCACCUAUUAUUUACUUAGCUUCUCCCCUGCGCUCCUCGGGCGAAUCGGAGAGGCGGGCGCUGCGCUGGGGAAAGUUUGUCCCACCCGCACCUCGCAGCUGGCUUCGAGGAGAGGAGGAGGAGCGGGAAGUACGGCUCCGAGCCUGCGGCCGCGAGGACGACUGAGCUAGCGCCGCGCUUACCUCGCAGUCCUCGUACUUGAUAUUAUCCGUCAGUUUCCAAAGCAUUUUCAUGGAUCGGCGUGAAUGGAUUUGCCCCCUCUCCGCCUCGCACCCAAGUGGAGCUACUCUCUGGCCUAAUCGCCUCAUUAGCAUAUCAACAAUAGUCCAAUUGCUCGCCAGCACCACAAUCUGCCGCCGGCCGCUCCGACCCAGGUAUAAAGGCCUCUCCAAGCCGCAAACUUGCUCCUAGAGCGCGCUCCUGCCGGGAGCCCACGAAAUCUCCCUUGAGCCCCGCCGCGCGCCCCUGCCCCGGCGCCCCCGCCCCCAUGCCACACUUCUCCUCUCUCCUCUCCUCUCCUCUCCGUCUCCUCCUCGCCGGAGACGCCCCGGCAAAAGCCCGGCACUGCGCAGGGUCCGAGAGGCCGCGCCGGGGCCCGGCUUUCAGCACCUCUCCCUCAUCCCUGCCUCCACCAGCGGCUCUGUCCUUUCGGCCCCGUCCAAUCUUAUUAGAAAUUACUAUCCCUUUCGCAAUCAAAUAUAACCACCAAACGAAGACCGGCGAAGUCACAUCAGGAUUUUUGCCCAACAAGAGAUCGCCUCCGCUCCCGGCAGCUGACACCUCCGGCCGCGGCGCCCUGGGAGUUUUACUGGCUUCGCGCUUCCCAGCCCACCCCACCCCCCAGGUUGGAGAUUUUGCCAGACGGCUUCAGUCGCUCGGCUGGGCUUUGGGAUCCUUUAAUUGCCGCGUGUAAAAUAAAAAGUGUACCCUGAAGAGGUUACUUGACAGCUCCAGGGGUUAAAUGAGUUUCCUCUCAUUUGUAUGAAGCUAGGGCCGACUGAUAAUUCAACGUGGUAUUUGGGCUAAGGGCUUGCUGGGUGCAGUGUGGACAGGAAUACGGAACUCCUAUGG